rnacentral:antisense_RNA from 1 species
GUUUAUGGCGGGCAGUAGUGGGGAGACCUUCGGGUCUGCCGGUCCCUUGUUCCGGUUCGCCAACCCCGCUAUUUGCCUGCCACCUCC